CUCUGUUUCUCCUCUACUCUCCUCCCCAGGCCUCCCUGCCGUGUUUGUCGCUGUAUGGGUGACCGUGAGGGCCACACUAGCCAACACUGAGUGCUGGGACCUGAGUUCGGGGAAUAAGAAAUGGAUCAUACAGGUGCCCAUCCUGGCAGCUAUUGUGGUGAACUUUAUUCUUUUUAUCAAUAUAAUCAGAGUCCUGGCUACUAAACUCCGGGAGACCAAUGCAGGGAGAUGUGACACCAGGCAACAGUAUAGGUGAGCUCCCUACCCUCUUCCAAUUCCCAGUCCUUUAUUCACUAAAUUAUAAACUUCCUGGAGAAGAAUGCAUUUGAACUGGGCCUUAAAAGACAAGCUAGUUGGCUUCAGACACUUCCUAGAUGUGUGACCCUGGGCAAAUCACU